AUGCUUACCUGGCAGGGGAGAGACCAUGAUCAUGAAGCUGUUUUUCCCAGGGCACACCCAUUGUACUCCAGAUGAGCUGACCACGUGAUUUCCCCAAAUGUUGGAAACUUGACUCUAGAAAC
rnacentral:snRNA from 1 species